rnacentral:rRNA from 1 species
GGCAAAUUUGGCAUGUGAUACCUUUUCGGAAAGCCCAAAGACAGCCCUCCGACGAAAGAAGCAGGACAAUGGAAUUUUUCCAUUGACUUUUUGUCGACCCCAAAUUUUGACCUUUAAGUACUUUUUCGGGCAUUUUCGUGAUUUGGGCUAUAUUACGGACCCAAAAUUACUUGUUCAAGCAUUGUUUUCGAAUUUUCCCAUGCAUCAAAGCUCGUUAAGACUAGAUGGGGUAUCCCUACAUAGCGGGUGGGACCCACGGCUAAUGGUUCAUCAAGUCUUCAAAAAAGAAUAUAUACGAUUGCAUUGCAUAUACUAACGGAUGCGAUCAUACCAGCACUAAUGCACCGGAUCCCAUCAGAACUCCGCAGUUAAGCGUGCUUGGGCGAGAGUAGUAACUAGGAUGGGUGACCUCCCGGGAAGUCCUUCGUGUUGCAUCCCUCUUUUUUUUUUUUUUUUUUUUGGUUAAAACUUUAUGACUCGAUAACUUCUAAACGG